rnacentral:rRNA from 1 species
GUCCACGCCGUAAACGAUGUCUACUAGCUGUUCGUGGUCUUGUACUGUGAGUAGCGCAGCUAACGCACUAAGUAGACCGCCUGGGAGUACGGUCGCAAGAUUAAACUCAAAUGAAUUGACGGGGCCCGCACAAGCGGUGGAGCAUGUGGUUUAAUUCGACGCAACGCGAAGAACCUUACCUACUCUUGACAUCUAGCGAAGAUUGUAGAGAUACGAUUGUGCCUUCGGGAACGCUAAGACAGGUGCUGCAUGGCUGUCGU